rnacentral:rRNA from 10 species
GGCAGUAGCGCGGUGGUCCCACCUGACCCCAUGCCGAACUCAGAAGUGAAACGCCGUAGCGCCGAUGGUAGUGUGGGGUCUCCCCAUGCGAGAGUAGGGAACUGCCAGAC